AUUGAACGCUGGCGGCAGGCCUAACACAUGCAAGUCGAGCGGAAGAAGGGAGCUUGCUCCUGGAUUCAGCGGCGGACGGGUGAGUAAUGCCUAGGAAUCUGCCUGGUAGUGGGGGAUAACGUCCGGAAACGGGCGCUAAUACCGCAUACGUACUGAGGGAGAAAGUGGGGGAUCUUAGGACCUCACGCUAUCAGAUGAGCCUAGGUCGGAUUAGCUAGUUGGUGGGGUAAAGGCCUACCAAGGCGACGAUCCGUAACUGGUCUGAGAGGAUGAUCAGUCACACUGGAACUGAGACACGGUCCAGACUCCUACGGGAGGCAGCAGUGGGGAAUAUUGGACAAUGGGCGAAAGCCUGAUCCAGCCAUGCCGCGUGUGUGAAGAAGGUCUUCGGAUUGUAAAGCACUUUAAUUUGGGAAGAAGGGCAGUAAGUUAAUACCUUGCUGUUUUGACGUUACCAACAGAAUAAGCACCGGCUAACUUCGUG
rnacentral:rRNA from 1 species